GCCUCUGUUGGUGUUUUGUGGUGAGCCCAGCUGAAGGGAAGAGAGAGUUGACUGUUCCUCUUUACUCCAUCCUUGGGAGAUUUCAUCUGCAAUAAUGCAUCCAGCCUGAAGGUGCCCAGUACAGGAAAGAUACAGAACUGUUGGUGUAGGUCUGGAGGAAAGCCAAGAAAAUGAUCAGAAUCCUGGAGCAUCUCUCUUAUGAAGAAAGGCUGAGAAAGAUGGAUUUGUUCAGCUUGGGGGAGAGAAGGCUUCCAUGAUUAUCAAGAUUAAAAUAGACAUUUUUUUUGUCUGAAGGGACAAACUCCAAACAAAACUGAAAUAAUUUCUGGUUAUUUACUUCUAGUCAGGAGGAGGAGGAGGAAAAAAAAAAAAAAAAAAAAAGAUAAAA